AGCGAACGCUGGCGGCAUGCUUAACACAUGCAAGUCGCGCGGUCAGCAAUGGCAGCGGCGGACGGGUGAGUAACGCGUAGGAAUGUGUCCAGAGGUGGGGGACAACCCCGGGAAACUGGGGCUAAUACCGCAUAUGUCCUGAGGGACAAAGCAGUAAUGCGCCUUUGGAGCAGCCUGCGUCCGAUUAGGUAGUUGGUGGGGUAAUGGCCUACCAAGCCUGCGAUCGGUAGCUGGUCUGAGAGGACGAUCAGCCACACUGGGAAUGAGACACGGCCCAGACUCCUACGGGAGGCAGCAGUGGGGAAUAUUGGACAAUGGGGGCAACCCUGAUCCAGCAAUGCCGCGUGUGUGAAGAAGGUCUUCGGAUCGUAAAGCACUUUCGGCGGGGACGAUGAUGACGGUACCCGCAGAAGAAGCCCGGCUAACUUCGUGCCAGCAGCCGCGGUAA
rnacentral:rRNA from 1 species